CUCCGAUUCAAGCUUAAAUAUGAAAAAUCUAUCAAAUAUGCCAAAAACUGUCACUUUUCAUAUGGUUUUUGUCAAAAAUGAAAGUGGCCGCAUCCGUGUUCAUCCUCGACCUUUAUAUAUGUUAUGUAUUAUCAUUAAACACAACUUACAUUUAAAUAUAAAGAAUGAACACGAAUGCGGCCACUUUCAUUUAAGACGGAAACCGUCUAAAAUUUAACUAAAAUGCUGAAAUUGUGAAGAUUUCAGUAAUUUAGCAUGACUUAAUGAUGCAAGUACCCGAUAUUUGUGCAUUGUAAUGCCAAAAUAAGCCCAUAUUUAUGUAGCAGUGGCAUUAUACCUUCCAAAAAAUAACUAAAAGUUUACAUUUAAACAAUUUUGUAAAACUGCUAUAUUUUGGGGCCAAAAAGGGGUC
rnacentral:lncRNA from 1 species